GGUUGUAAUCGUAUAAUUAUUAACUCAGAUAAUAUGGAGGUGAUCGAGACCAUGAACGAAGGAGGACGAUCGUCGGGGGCAGCAGUUGCAAUUUUUGAUGACUGUUUUCACUUAGCUUACGAUUUUUCUAUUUCUAGAUUCGAGCAUUGUAAUAGAGAAGUAAAUAAAGUUGCUCAUGAACUUGCUAAGUUGGCUAGAUUUUUAUUCAUUUUUGGUUGGUUUGAGGAACCACAUAAUGCAAUUGUACCAAUCCUUAUAAACGAUGUAAUGAUUAUUUCUAAUAAAUAA
rnacentral:rRNA from 1 species